ensembl:snRNA U6 U6 spliceosomal RNA
AUGGCUGUUUCAGCGGUAUUUAUUCUAAUAUUAGAACAAUCCAUAAAAUAUUAGUAUGGCCUCUGUACAAGGCUAAACACAAAUUCGUGAAGUGUUGCAUAUUUUU